UUGAGUUUUGCACUCGGCAUACCUCGCCCGAUUUCGGAGAUGUGCUGAGUGAUGAACCUUUUCCCUCCAUGGACAGACCUGCUUGUCUAAAGAUGAUGGACCACUCUACUUCCUUUUACAACAAGUGCCCCUACAGAUUCAUAAAGUUCCAAUGUUGAAUUUCCAUGACCCCGAUUGAUCCGCGACAGGAAAAUGAAUGAAUUUGACAGGACUUUACGCACUGUCCUAGGUAGCGGCGCGUAUCAUCAAAGGAUGAUACAAAGACAUAUACAUCAGUACAGUCCGCAAGGAUCCUUCGAGGGCCAGAGUUGCAUGCGCGAAUUAUUUAUGUCUUCUUUUUAAAAUUAAUGAAAAAAUACUUUAAAUUAUUCAGUAACAUACUAUAAAGUAUAAAUGACA